rnacentral:rRNA from 1 species
UGGGGAAUUUUGGACAAUGGGCGAAAGCCUGAUCCAGCAAUGCCGCGUGUGUGAAGAAGGCCUUCGGGUUGUAAAGCACUUUUGUCCGGAAAGAAAUCCUUGGCUCUAAUACAGUCGGGGGGUGACGGUACCGGAAGAAUAAGCACCGGCUAACUACGUGCCAGCAGCCGCGGUAAUACGUAGGGUGCAAGCGUUAAUCGGAAUUACUGGGCGUAAAGCGUGCGCAGGCGGUUUGCUAAGACCGAUGUGAAAUCCCCGGGCUCAACCUGGGAACUGCAUUGGUGACUGGCAGGCUAGAGUAUGGCAGAGGGGGGUAGAAUUCCACGUGUAGCAGUGAAAUGCGUAGAGAUGUGGAGGAAUACCGAUGGCGAAGGCAGCCCCCCUGGGCCAAUACUGACGCUCAUGCACGAAAGCGUGGGGGAGCAAACAGGAUUAGAUACCCCUGGUAGUCCCACGCCCUAAAACGAUGUCAACUAGUUGUUGGGGACUUCAUUUUCCUUAGUAACGUAGCUAACGCGUGAAGUUGACCGCCUGGGGAGUACGGUCGCAAGAUUAAAACUC